rnacentral:rRNA from 1 species
GAUGAACGCUGGCGGCGUGCCUAAUACAUGCAAGUCGAGCGAACAGAUAAGGAGCUUGCUCCUUUGACGUUAGCGGCGGACGGGUGAGUAACACGUGGGUACCCUACCUAUAAGACUGGAAUAACUCCGGGAAACCGGGGCUAAUGCCGGAUAACAUUUAGAACCGCAUGGUUCUAAAGUGAAAGAUGGUUUUGCUAUCACUUAUAGAUGGACCCGCGCCGUAUUAGCUAGUUGGUAAGGUAACGGCUUACCAAGGCAACGAUACGUAGCCGACCUGAGAGGGUGAUCGGCCACACUGGAACUGAGACACGGUCCAGACUCCUACGGGAGGCAGCAGUAGGGAAUCUUCCGCAAUGGGCGAAAGCCUGACGGAGCAACGCCGCGUGAGUGAUGAAGGUCUUCGGAUCGUAAAACUCUGUUAUUAGGGAAGAACAAAUGUGUAAGUAACUGUGCACGUCUUGACGGUACCUAAUCAGAAAGCCACGGCUAACUACGUG